rnacentral:misc_RNA from 1 species
GAUGAAGAACGCAGCGAAAUGCGAUACGUAAUGUGAAUUGCAGAAUUCAGUGAAUCAUCGAAUCUUUGAACGCAUAUUGCGCUCUCUGGUAUUCCGGAGAGCAUGCUUGUUUGAGUAUCAGUAAACACCUCAACUUCCAUAUCUUUUUUGAAAUGGGAGUUGGACUUGAGUGAUCCCAACGCUUUUCCUCACCGAAAAGUGGCGGGUUACUUGAAAUGCAGGUGCAGCUGGACUUUUCUCUGAGCUAUAAGCAUAUCUAUUUAGUCUGCCUAAAAAACAGAUUAUUACCUUUGCUGCAGCUAACAUAAAGGAGAUUAGUUCUUGUGCUGACUGAUGGAGGAUUCACAAAGACAGGCUUCGGCCGACUUUGUAAACUCGAUCUCAAAUCAAGUAAGACUACCCGCUGAACUUAAGCAUAUCAAUAAGCGGAGGA